rnacentral:rRNA from 1 species
UACGAAGGGGGCUAGCGUUGUUCGGAAUCACUGGGCGUAAAGCGCACGUAGGCGGCUUGUUAAGUCAGAGGUGAAAGCCUGGAGCUCAACUCCAGAACUGCCUUUGAUACUGGCGAGCUCGAGUAUGACAGAGGUUGGUGGAACUCCGAGUGUAGAGGUGAAAUUCGUAGAUAUUCGGAAGAACACCAGUGGCGAAGGCGGCCAACUGGGUCAAUACUGACGCUGAGGUACGAAAGCAUGGGGAGCAAACAGG